rnacentral:rRNA from 1 species
CAGGCCUAACACAUGCAAGUCGAACGAAGGCUUCGGCCUUAGUGGCGCACGGGUGCGUAACGCGUGGGAAUCUGCCCUUUGGUACGGAAUAACUCAGGGAAACUUGAGCUAAUACCGUAUGAUGUCGAGAGACCAAAGAUUUAUCGCCAGGGGAUGAGCCCGCGUCCGAUUAGCUUGUUGGUGGGGUAAUGGCCUACCAAGGCGACGAUCGGUAGCUGGUCUGAGAGGAUGAUCAGCCACACUGGGACUGAGACACGGCCCAGACUCCUACGGGAGGCAGCAGUGGGGAAUAUUGGACAAUGGGCGAAAGCCUGAUCCAGCAAUGCCGCGUGAGUGAUGAAGGCCUUAGGGUUGUAAAGCUCUUUUACCCGGGAAGAUAAUGACUGUACCGGGAGAAUAAGCCCCGGCUAACUCCGUGCCAGCAGCCGCGGUAAU